rnacentral:rRNA from 1 species
CGGGUGAGUAACACGUAUCCAACCUGCCGUCUACUCUUGGACAGCCUUCUGAAAGGAAGAUUAAUACAAGAUGGCAUCAUGAGUUCACAUGUUCACAUGAUUAAAGGUAUUCCGGUAGACGAUGGGGAUGCGUUCCAUUAGGCAGUUGGUGAGGUAACGGCUCACCAAACCUUCGAUGGAUAGGGGUUCUGAGAGGAAGGUCCCCCACAUUGGAACUGAGACACGGUCCAA